rnacentral:rRNA from 1 species
GACCAGACUCCUACGGGAGGCAGCAGUGGGGAAUAUUGGGCAAUGGGCGCAAGCCUGACCCAGCAACGCCGCGUGAAGGAUGAAGGUUUUCGGAUUGUAAACUUCUGUCGCGAGGGACGAAGAAUGACGGUACCUCGUAAGAAAGCCCCGACUAACUACGUGCCAGCAGCCGCGGUAAUACGUAGGGGGCAAGCGUUAUCCGGAUUUACUGGGUGUAAAGGGGGCGCAGACGGCAGCGCAAGCCAGGAGUGAAAGCCCGGGGCCCAACCCCGGGACUGCUCUUGGAACUGCGCGGCUGGAGUGCAGGAGGGGCAGGCGGAAUUCCUGGUGUAGCGGUGAAAUGCGUAGAUAUCAGGAGGAACACCGGUGGCGAAGGCGGCCUGCUGGACUGCGACUGACGUUGAGGCCCGAAAGCGUGGGGAGCAAACAGGAUUAGAUACCCUAGUAU